AAUCCAUAGGUUAAUGAGGCGAACCGGGGGAACUGAAACAUCUAAGUACCCCGAGGAAAAGAAAUCAACCGAGAUUCCCCCAGUAGCGGCGAGCGAACGGGGAGGAGCCCAGAGCCUGAAUCAGCAUGUGUGUUAGUGGAAGCGUCUGGAAAGGCGCGCGAUACAGGGUGACAGCCCCGUACACAAAAGCGCAUGUGCUGUGAGCUCGAUGAGUAGGGCGGGACACGUGGUAUCCUGUCUGAAUAUGGGGGGACCAUCCUCCAAGGCUAAAUACUCCUGACUGACCGAUAGUGAACCAGUACCGUGAGGGAAAGGCGAAAAGAACCCCGGCGAGGGGAGUGAAAAAGAACCUGAAACCGUGUACGUACAAGCAGUGGGAGCACCCUUCGGGGUGUGACUGCGUACCUUUUGUAUAAUGGGUCAGCGACUUAUAUUCUGUAGCAAGGUUAACCGUAUAGGGGAGCCGUAGGGAAACCGAGUCUUAACCGGGCGUUAAGUUGCAGGGUAUAGACCCGAAACCCGGUGAUCUAGCCAUGGGCAGGUUGAAGGUUGGGUAACACUAACUGGAGGACCGAACCGACUAAUGUUGAAAAAUUAGCGGAUGACCUGUGGCUGGGGGUGAAAGGCCAAUCAAACCGGGAGAUAGCUGGUUCUCCCCGAAAGCUAUUUAGGUAGCGCCUCGUGAAUUCAUCUCCGGGGGUAGAGCACUGUUUCGGCUAGGGGGCCAUCCCGGCUUACCAACCCGAUGCAAACUGCGAAUACCGGAGAAUGUUAUCACGGGAGACACACGGCGGGUGCUAACGUCCGUCGUGAAGAGGGAAACAACCCAGACCGCCAGCUAAGGUCCCAAAGUCAUGGUUAAGUGGGAAACGAUGUGGGAAGGCCCAGACAGCCAGGAUGUUGGCUUAGAAGCAGCCAUCAUUUAAAGAAAGCGUAAUAGCUCACUGGUCGAGUCGGCCUGCGCGGAAGAUGUAACGGGGCUAAACCAUGCACCGAAGCUGCGGCAGCGACACUCAGGUGUUGUUGGGUAGGGGAGCGUUCUGUAAGCCUGUGAAGGUGGCCUGUGAGGGUUGCUGGAGGUAUCAGAAGUGCGAAUGCUGACAUAAGUAACGAUAAAGCGGGUGAAAAGCCCGCUCGCCGGAAGACCAAGGGUUCCUGUCCAACGUUAAUCGGGGCAGGGUGAGUCGACCCCUAAGGCGAGGCCGAAAGGCGUAGUCGAUGGGAAACGGGUUAAUAUUCCCGUACUUGGUGUUACUGCGAAGGGGGGACGGAGAAGGCUAUGUUGGCCGGGCGACGGUUGUCCCGGUUUAAGCGUGUAGGUGUGUGUUCCAGGUAAAUCCGGUUCACUUUAACACUGAGGCGUGACGACGAGGCACUACGGUGCUGAAGCAACAAAUGCCCUGCUUCCAGGAAAAGCCUCUAAGCAUCAGGUAACAUCAAAUCGUACCCCAAACCGACACAGGUGGUCAGGUAGAGAAUACCAAGGCGCUUGAGAGAACUCGGGUGAAGGAACUAGGCAAAAUGGUGCCGUAACUUCGGGAGAAGGCACGCUGACACGUAGGUGAAGUGAUUUACUCAUGGAGCUGAAGUCAGUCGAAGAUACCAGCUGGCUGCAACUGUUUAUUAAAAACACAGCACUGUGCAAACACGAAAGUGGACGUAUACGGUGUGACGCCUGCCCGGUGCCGGAAGGUUAAUUGAUGGGGUCAGCGCAAGCGAAGCUCCUGAUCGAAGCCCCGGUAAACGGCGGCCGUAACUAUAACGGUCCUAAGGUAGCGAAAUUCCUUGUCGGGUAAGUUCCGACCUGCACGAAUGGCGUAAUGAUGGCCAGGCUGUCUCCACCCGAGACUCAGUGAAAUUGAACUCGCUGUGAAGAUGCAGUGUACCCGCGGCAAGACGGAAAGACCCCGUGAACCUUUACUAUAGCUUGACACUGAACAUUGAGCCUUGAUGUGUAGGAUAGGUGGGAGGCUUUGAAGUGUGGACGCCAGUCUGCAUGGAGCCGACCUUGAAAUACCACCCUUUAAUGUUUGAUGUUCUAACGUGGACCCGUAAUCCGGGUUGCGGACAGUGUCUGGUGGGUAGUUUGACUGGGGCGGUCUCCUCCUAAAGAGUAACGGAGGAGCACGAAGGUUGGCUAAUCCUGGUCGGACAUCAGGAGGUUAGUGCAAUGGCAUAAGCCAGCUUGACUGCGAGCGUGACGGCGCGAGCAGGUGCGAAAGCAGGUCAUAGUGAUCCGGUGGUUCUGAAUGGAAGGGCCAUCGCUCAACGGAUAAAAGGUACUCCGGGGAUAACAGGCUGAUACCGCCCAAGAGUUCAUAUCGACGGCGGUGUUUGGCACCUCGAUGUCGGCUCAUCACAUCCUGGGGCUGAAGUAGGUCCCAAGGGUAUGGCUGUUCGCCAUUUAAAGUGGUACGCGAGCUGGGUUUAGAACGUCGUGAGACAGUUCGGUCCCUAUCUGCCGUGGGCGCUGGAGAACUGAGGGGGGCUGCUCCUAGUACGAGAGGACCGGAGUGGACGCAUCACUGGUGUUCGGGUUGUCAUGCCAAUGGCACUGCCCGGUAGCUAAAUGCGGAAGAGAUAAGUGCUGAAAGCAUCUAAGCACGAAACUUGCCCCGA
rnacentral:rRNA from 1 species